AUCCUGGCUCAGGAUGAACGCUAGCUACAGGCUUAACACAUGCAAGUCGAGGGGAAACGAUAUUGGAAGCUUGCUUCCGAUAGGCGUCGACCGGCGCACGGGUGAGUAACGCGUAUCCAACCUGCCCAUCACUUGGGGAUAACCUUGCGAAAGUAAGACUAAUACCCAAUGACGUCUCUAGAAGACAUCUGAAAGAGAUUAAAGAUUUAUCGGUGAUGGAUGGGGAUGCGUCUGAUUAGCUUGUUGGCGGGGUAACGGCCCACCAAGGCGACGAUCAGUAGGGGUUCUGAGAGGAAGGUCCCCCACAUUGGAACUGAGACACGGUCCAAACUCCUACGGGAGGCAGCAGUGAGGAAUAUUGGUCAAUGGGCGAGAGCCUGAACCAGCCAAGUAGCGUGCAGGAUGACGGCCCUAUGGGUUGUAAACUGCUUUUAUAAGGGAAUAAAGUGGGAGUCGUGACUCUUUUUGCAUGUACCUUAUGAAUAAGGACCGGCUAAUUCCGUG
rnacentral:rRNA from 1 species